rnacentral:lncRNA from 1 species
CCUCUUGAAUUACCAAAAUAAGGAAGUGCAUCUCCUUACCAAUGUUGCUUAAAUUACUCAAACAAGGAAGUGUGUCUUUUAACCAAUGCCGCUUGAAUUACUCAAACAAGGAAGUGCGUCUCCUCACAUAUGUUUCUUGAAUUAACCAAACAAGGAAGUGCAUCUCCUUACAAAUGUUUCAUGAAUUAACCAAACAAGAAAGUGUGUAUUCUUAUAAAUUUUGUUCGAAUUGCCCAAGCAAGGAAGUGCAUCUCCUUUCAAAUGUUGCUUGAAUUAACAAACAAGGAAGUGCGUCUCCUUACAAAUGUUACUUGAAUUAUCAAAACAAGAAAGUGCGUCUCCUAACAAAUGUCUCUUGAAUUAAUCAAACAAGGAAGUGUGUCUCCUUAUAAACAUUUCUUGAUUUAACCAAACAAGAAAGUGCAUCUCCUUACAAAUAUUUCAUGAAUUAACCAAACAAGAAAAUGCUUCUCCUUACCAAUGUUUCUUGAAUUACCAAAAUAAGGAAGUGUGUCUCCUUACCAAAACAAGGAAGUGCGUCUCCUAACCCAUGUCUCUUGAAUUUCCCAAACAAGGAAGUGCAUCUCCUCACAAAUGUUGUUUGAAUUACCCAAACAAAGAAGUGGGUCUCCUUACAAGGAAGUGUAUCUCCUAGAAAUCUUGAAUUAUGAGUUUUACUAUGGUUUUGAUUACCAAACUUGUGCAGCAACAUUGCCUUUUGCAUUUGUAGAAGUGAGAAAUUACGGCCUUUGAUGUUUAGGAUCUGAAAUCCUUGAUAUGAAAGCAACAUGUGUUCCUGUUUUAUACAAAGAAAACUUGUGAGUUUAAAAAUAUGGUGGCUGGUUUGUGGCUUUGGAUUUCGAGUCAAUCACACUUGCCCUGAUCACAUUUAACCUUACUUACAACCAUUAGCAUAUGUCAUUGACUUGUGGCAUCGUGACCCAAACUCAGAUUAUUAAGAGUGACUCUGAAACAAACAUGGUAUCUCUGCUUCGCCAUGCUCAUCAGAUAAACCCUUUGACCCUUGGUAUUUCCGUGAGUUCCCAAACUUGUAUGUUGACACAAUUUUUGUAUGUCUUAUUUUCGUUCACAAUCAUGUCUUUUGCAUGUGCUGGCCCUUUUGUCUAGCUUUGUGCAAUUGAAGAAACUGGUAGCCAAUUUUGAAAUCUUUUCUCACUUGUUUUGGCAUAGACUUAACUUAAGACAAGAAAAAAUGACAAUGAUUUUUUGGAUAACUCACUCAAGAAAAUAAAAUAAAAAUAAAAUAAAGAAGGAAAGAAAAGACCAUGAAUGUCCCCAUUUGAAAUAAGGAAAUGAAAAUUUAUCUAAAAAUGACAGUCAAGACUAAUGAUUAUGCCAUGCAUUUUGAUAAUCUGCCUGAUCUUUCCAUCCACACUUUCACCAAUUGUUAUUGAGUUAAUGGCCUUGACAAAUGAUUUGCUUCAUUAGGUCAAUUGAAUUUAAGACCUCAUUCAGCUAGUGACACCUUGAAGGGUUUUUGCCACCAAGCCUCUCUCAUUUUCUUUUUCUCAGUUCACCAUUGGAUUAUGGUGUCUGUGAGGGUUUUCACCAAUAAGACUCUCUCAUUUUCAUUUCUGUCCACUUAAAAUCGUCUUAUAGUUCUCGUGAGGGUUUUAAUCGAUAAGACUUUCUCAUUUUAUCUCUCUCAACUUACCAUCGUCUUACGUUGCCUAGGAGGUUUUUCACCAAUAAAACUCUCUCAUUUUUUAUUUCUCUCCUAAUUUCUUAUGCUGAGGAAGACAAGUAGAUCCCAAAUGCAUCAUCAUAUCCCUUGCAUGCUUAACCUUGACAUCCUCAAAGAUUGAUCUGAAGGUCUUUCUUUGGUUGUAACUUGGCUUUUUGAUAGGGUUAGAAAGAAAGGAUGGCAUGAGGCCCCAAACGAUACUUGAAAUGGGGUGGAACUUACAACUUUUGGAAUUGAGUCAAAUAAUGAGGAUUAACUCAUGCCCCAGUUUCUUUUGACUGGGUAACUCUAAAUAAUUUAUUUGGUUGGACCGAGCCCAGGAUAGGACAGCCUACGUAUCUCACCCCCCUAAAGAGGAGAACUAGGUCACGCGUAGUUCUGGCAGCUUGUUAUUUUGAUUGAUUUUGAUUUUUUUGUUUUUCUCUUUUAUUAACUCUUUUCUUUUGGGUAUUUUUUCUUACUCUAUUUUUUCUUGACACUCUCUUCUCCCCUUUUUUUUUCUUUUUAAUAUACUUUUUCUUUCUUCUCUUUUUUUCUGACUCUAUUGUUUUGCUAAACACUUUCUUUUAAGCUUGCUAACUCUAUCUUGAUUCCAAAAGAGGGGUAUGAAAGAAAAUAGUAAUUGGCUCAAAUAGGGGUAAACAAAGGAUGACACAAUGUUUUGAUAGCAAAAUGAAAUGUCUUCAUCAUAUCAAUCUUUGAAAAUGCAAGUACAUAUAUGCAAUAUUAAAUGAAAGAUAAAGAUCAUUUGGGACACUUUAACAAUCACUAACUUCAACUGAGCAUGUGUGCCAAUUCUUCUUCUACCCUUGUCAAACAUACAACUCCAUUUUCGUUGUACAUUCCUCAUGCUGAAGGACUUCUGACUUCGUGGGGCUGAUUUUCUUUCAGUUUCUUUUGUCAUAGGAUCGUACAUUCACUACUUGACCUAAUUAAGAUAUGUCUUUCAAUUGAUGACCAAGUUAUUCUCAUGAUUCUCAAAAUAAUUACCUUAAUUUUCAAAGAGGCUUCAACUUGAUCACUAAAUGCCUCAGUACUCUAUCUAUUUUCUCAGAUGCUCUCUUUUUCUAACUUUAACCCUCUGAUUUAAUGUUCAUGGUUAAACUGGAUUUUAAGAUCUGGCUGGAAAUUCCGCAAGCAUUUCAUAUCACUAUAGUCAACAUAAAAUGUACUGUAUAAAGAAAAAAAACAACACAUAUUUUAGAACACAAAGGAAAAGAGACAAUUCAUUUAGUUGAAAUAAAAGAUAGAAUGGUUUGAACAUAAACGACAAAAGGACAAAACAAGAUAGAUGCUAAACUACAACCCUGAAAUAAUUCGAAAAAAAAAAAAGAAAACAAAACAAACUAACAGACCUCUUCCUAGUAGAGAGAGGGGUGACUUCUCAGUUGCUCAACCUGACAGCUUAGCCACUGGUUUGCAUAUCAUCAUGACUAGAGCUUUCCUCACUGUUAAUACUCUACACCAUAAUUGAUCCAUCUUAAAUCAUCUUUUCAAUUUCUCUUUUCAAAUCUCGAUAAUCUUCAAUACUAUGACCCUGAGCAUAAGAAUGAUGCACAUAUCAUACAUUGGGAUCAAAAUUUCUUUAAUGCCGAUUAAGAGUGUGCCCAAGGAGAGGAGUAAUCAUGCCCCUCUGUCUCAAUCUCUGGAAUAAAAAGGCAUAAGAUUCCCCAAUAGAAGUGAAAUUAUCCUUUUCCUUCCUCAUCUUUGCAAACUAUGGCCUAGGAUGAAACGUGAAUUUAGAGGUUCCUUGGUAAAUUUGUGGGGGUUAAGGAUGAUGUUGAGGGACAGGUGCAUGUCAUUAUGGAUAAGAAGACGGAUGGGUAAACAAUUGUGCAUUAUUCAAAGGACAUUGAGGAAGUGGAAUGAAACUCCUUAGAUUUUGAAAAGAGAAACCUUGUUGCAGAUGAGUAAGUGGAUUUGAUAUGUAAGCUUGGGAUUGAGGCUGACAGUAUUGGUGAUUUGGACCUCUUAAACAUUGCUUUGGCCCUGGCACGACAACAGGGGAGUUUUCCUUCUUCCUUCCUUCGGUUUCCCUUAAUCGAUUGUAAUAUCAUCCCAAAUGUUUCAUAGAAUCAUUCUGUCCAUCAAGAUCCUCAAAUUUUGAUAUCUCAAAGCUUGCAGGAAGGCCAACACUUAAAGGACAUUGAGGAAGUGGAAUGAAACUCCUUAGAUUUUGAAAAGAGAAACCUUGUUGCAGAUGAGUAAGUGGAUUUGAUAUGUAAGCUUGGGAUUGAGGCUGACAGUAUUGGUGAUUUGGACCUCUUAAACAUUGCUUUGGCCCUGGCACGACAACAGGGGAGUUUUCCUUCUUCCUUCCUUCGGUUUCCCUUAAUCGAUUGUAAUAUCAUCCCAAAUGUUUCAUAGAAUCAUUCUGUCCAUCAAGAUCCUCAAAUUUUGAUAUCUCAAAGCUUGCAGGAAGGCCAACACUUGAAAACAUGCCCCAAUUUUUAUAUGAAACAUCUUUAUAGUCCACAAGUCCCAAGGAACUUUUCAUAUUAUUUUCUACACUCUUAACUUUCCCAACCAUUUUCUCUGGCUCUUCUAGCAUGCUAACCUUCUUAGUAAGAAAUUUUGGCGGCCCACUUAACUUAACUAUAGGCUCAAGAGUAUAACAAUGAUCAUCAAGAGUAUUGAAUGUGGAUUCACUAGUGGACUGGGGAAGCACAAUCAUUGGAUUGAUAGCCAAAGUGGAAGCCUUAGUAGAGGGUUGAGCAACAAAAGCACAAACGGUAUGUGGUACUGUGAAUGUGAUAGACUUAUACUGAGGAGCUAAAGAAAUAGUGCUGGAAGUAUUGAGGUGCAUUUAAUGUGGAAUGGAUUCUGAGGCAUGUUGUGGUGCAUUAACAACAGUAGGAAACUUAAUUUGCGAUUUUGGUGGAAGACUCAAGGUAUUUGCAGGGUCAAAAGUGGGGAACGGGGAUGGAGGCAUCCCACUGUCCCAAGCUCGAUACAUUUCCAUCAUUUGCUGCCUUGAUUUCCGAAUCUCUUCAUUAGCUUCUAAAUUCUCAUUCCCCAAACUCCCUAGCUAAUUAUUGACAACUAACUCGGUAUCCUUGUUGGCCAUAACUUUCUCUGUGACUUGGAACAAUAUGGAGGACCAGCUAAAAUGCUACAAACCAACCACCUUAAACUAACUAGACAAGAGAUAGCAAAUACGUUAGAGUUCAACAAUUUUUCAAAACCUCUUUUUUUUUUUUGAAAAGAUCACCAAACCCAAGAAGGGCACCUAUACGAAAUGAAACAUAUGAUUACCAAAGAAAAUCAUUCUUGAUUUUCAAUUUUGAAUUUCAUACGGAAAUGAAAAUUGGAACUAUUAAAGAAAGAUCUUGUUGUAGUUUUCUAUUAAAGAAGUAUAUGAUACCUACUCUAAAUAAAGAGUGAAGAAAUUUUUUUUGGAUUUUUGAAAUAAGAUCCCCGAACCAACAAUAGGCUGCCUACGUAUCUCACCCCCAAAAGAGGAAAAUCAGGGGUCCCGGGAGAGGAGAAUCACGGGUGCGUAGUUUGUCCAGAUUGGACAAUUAAGGACUAUAGAAUAAACAAAACCUUGACUUGAGAGACGCGACUGCAUGAUGAAAAUAAAUUUUUUUAAGGUUUUUACUUUGACACUUCAUAAAAAAAAUGACACCAACAACUAUGAAAGAAAACUCUAUUUGAAAUUUUCGAAUUACGAAUUUAUGGUAAAGGAAUAAAAGGAAAAUCUUUUUAAUGUUUUUGAGAAAAUGAGUGCGUAAGGUAAAAAAAAAUCAUUUUGAAUAUUUGGAUUGUGAAAAAAAAUCAGAAGUCAUAAAGAACUCUAAAAACUUAUGAAACACUCUUUUUUUUUCUUUUCGACUAACUUUUUUUCUAUUUUUUUUUCAACAUUUCUUGCCUACGCACUUUAUCUCUAACACAUGCUUUCCCCAAAUUAGUCCGACAAAUGACCACGUUACCCUCAAAGAUCCAACAUUUAGCACGUAGGGAUGCUUUAGAGAUGAGUCUCCUACAAAGGACCACGUAGGUCCCGCUAGGUCUCAAUAUGAUGCAGAUAAGAAUGACAUAAAGGCUAACCUACGCUGGGUCCACUAACAAGGCUGUUCGGGGGAGAAUAUGGUCGAUAGUGGAUUGCUUUAGCUGUCCACCUACUCCAUACAACCCAACAGCUCCCCUUCCUAAAAUAAGGGUGACUCAAAUAUAGGUCGUGUACACAAGUGUACUACGACUUCUUUCAGAAAGAAAAACUCGGGUUAUACACAUGAUGCCAGAUAUAAAGCGGUAAUACAUAAAGUAAAAACUGUAAACAAAGAGCACGUAAGCACUCAACAAUGACAAACAAUAACAAAAAAAAACAACACAAAUAAAAUGUCUAUAAACCUAUAGUGCCAAACUAAGCUGAUACUACUCCAAAAUAAGCUCGAAUUCUAAAAAAUCCCCAGCAGAGUCGCCAGAGCUGUCACACCCCUUUUUAACUCCCAAAAAGAAUUGAUUUUAAAGUUUGAAAGGGUUUUUAUAAUUAAAGUGACAAAAGAUUAAAAAUUUAUUCCGAAAAAGGAUUAUUUAUAUUUAAAACUUAGAGUCGCCACUUGGCAUAAUUCGGUGUGCCAAGUCACCUUUGGAAAAUCCUUUUCAAAAUGAUUUGACUCUUUAAAAUUGGUUUAAGAAUAGAUAUUUUGGCUAAGGAAUUCUGUUGACUGAGAGGAAGGUGUUAGGCACCCUCGAUCCCGUUGUUCAACCACGGUCAAUUGGUGGAGAAUAUCGGUUAAUUUGACACUACAAAUGUAUAAAACACACAAAAAUAAUCAAUCAAAACAAAACAAAUCCAAAAUCAUAAUGUUCAGUCCAAUUAUAUAGUCUAAAAUAGAAAAAUGCGAAAAAAUAUAAAUCCUAUUCUAAACUAAUCAUAGACUAAGCUCCACCCGACGUCUCGGGCCUUUGUCAUGAACGUCCUCCGAGUAAAAAAUACUUUGGGACAUUCUCCAGCAAAUAAAUACAAAUACCUCAGGGCAUUCCUCAUCCAAAAAAUACAUUCGAUCAAAAAUCAAUAAAGCCAAACCAUUCAACACACAUUUCAAGCAUUCAAUAUUCCACAAAUCCUCGAUUUGCCUACCCGAACAUAAACUUUGCCUACUAAGUUUUUGGCCUAAAAUAUACUCCUAUCGAGUUCACAAACUUGAUAUUUAUUCCAAAUUAAACAAAACAACAAUAAACCAAAAUUUACCUAAAUUCACCCUUUUCAUCAAUUUCUAAAUUCCACCCCAAAUUUCAUUUUAUCAAUCGCACCAUUAAAACUAAUCAAAUUCGUUCCUCGUACCACCGGAGUCACAUCACCAAGAACAUGAUUAUAACAUCAACAACAUCAAACAAUUAUAAUCACCCAACACAUAAUCAUAGUCAUGUCAACAAAAUAAAAUAAAGAAGAAUGAAUGGGAGUAAAGAGAUGGACCUCAAUUUGAUGCUUUAUUUCAAUCAAUUGAUCUUUUUGAAUAGAACCGCGUCCAAAAAAAACCUCAACAUCGAACCUUAAUUAGAAACCCAAAUCAACAACUUUGAUCCUGAACUCCAAUUUACUCAAGCCCGAUUGCGAGCAAACAAAAAAUUAAAAUUGAGGCUUUGAAUGGGAAAAAACAGAAGCCUGUAUGAAUGUUUCCAAAUGAGAAUUAACCAGACUCAGCCUAAAAAAGUGAUCAAUUCAAACCAUUGGUGACUAGAAUUAAAUGUUUUCCGGCGAAAGGAUGCUAUUUCCAGCCAAGAACGCCAGAAUAGUCAACCCCAAUCCCUUUUCUCUCCUCUCUUGCUCAAAUAUCUCCUUCUCCUCUCUAUUUCUUCCUCUCUCCAACCAGUUCUCUCUCUCGAUACUUUCUUCAAUCAAUCUCUUCUCUGUUUUUACUCAACUUUACCCGAUUUUUAAUUCUCUAAUCCAGAUGUGUGUGUGAGUUUAUUGGUUUAUUUCUUGGUGUAAUGUUUCUAUAGGUGUGCACUGGUGAGUAUAUCAGUGUUUUUCCAUCUCUCUCUACUCUAGGUGUGUGCGCAGCAGCAUAAAAAGGAGAAGAAAAAUAAAGUCCUCAAUAAUAGCCUCCCCUCCCCUGUGAAAUCAUCCCUGUGGGAUAUGUAUUGAGUGCGUUUUAAUGGAUUCUCGAUGAAUGAUAUUGUAUAAGUGUGUGAUUAAUUAUCUUCUGUGAAUGGAAUGGGAAAAGAUGGUCAGG